UCUGUGCCUUUUUUCAGCUACCUGGCAGCUUCGUCCAACGUCAGCUCUUGCUGCUCAGGAUGGCGUGAUGACUGCCCUCCCUACACACUGAUCCAGCUUGGGAAGAGAGGAGUAGGGGAGAGAAAAGGAGGGGGGCGGGGGGGGGGGAAGAGAAGUCUACUGUGCUUGUAUUGCCACAACUUUUCCUUCUAAUGGCUGCAAUAAUGCCUUUAACCCUUCCCUCUCCCUCCUCAUACUCUACACCUCUACCUGUCUAACUUCUACUGCCUCUGAUGCUGGGCUAAAUCUGCAGGGUUUUUGGCAAUUAUGAUCUACUUCAGGUGAAUCCCUCCUAUUUUUAACCUGGAUUCAUACUUCACUUAUUAGAAAAAGUUCUGCGUAUCUAAGAAUGGAUUCUUGUUAGGCCUGGAAGGUAAAGGAUGCUGUCAUAUGUGGUACUUAUACUUUACAUGCAUUGGAGGAGCAUGAAUGUCUUCCUCCCAGAAAAGUUAAGUUCUGCCUAGAAGCAGAGUCUGUCUCUGACCAUCAGAGCUCCUGAGGGACUCUCCACAGUCCCUUACAUCAGAUGUUUCACACAGGGUCAAUAACAGUGUGCUCCUCAUUUCUGAAUGCCCACCUCAGGACCCUGAUGGCUCAGAUGAAGAAGCACUGAGCAGUCACAGUUGCAAUUAAAGUGAAGAGAUGCCGUGAUUGAAGAUGCAGAUUAUUAUAAAAUGUGACAAAAUCCAACAACUUGGACCCUAGGUAGUUCAGUACUAGCUGUUGUCUAUGUGUAUCUGCUGCCUGUCUGUAAAGUGGAAUAUAUUACCUUGUCACUUCUGAGAGGUUUUGUUAAGAUAAAUUAACCUUCAGGAAGCUCUCAGAGCUUUGCAUGAUGAGCACCAUAGGGAAGCCCAGAAGGGAAUGAAUAAUUCUGUCUUCAGCUCAGUGUUUGAGUGGUGUGCUUGGUUGAGGCCUAGGGACACACACUGAAAAAUAAAAAUAAGCCAAAUGUUGAAAACUUGCUGAUU
rnacentral:lncRNA from 1 species